UCCUAUAUCAGGGAAGUAAGGCAGGCAAAGUGUAGAUUAGCAUUUUGCACUGUUCCUUUUUAAACGGAUAGUGCUGCUGGAAGCUAGCCAAAGGCCUGUGGUAUCUACCUGAUGAAGCCAGGUGACUCAUGUAAGCAGAGAGCCAUCAACACCCGUGCUGUGCUUGGAUAUGUAGGAGAUCAAUUCUUCUCUAGCAGUAAGGACAAAAUUACAUGCACAAUAGUGUAGUUACUUUGAGCAGUCAUUUGGGGGCAGCAUAAACAAGAAAACACUAUAAACGAGAAUAAUUUUGGGCUUUUACACAGAAACACAUUGAACAUACCACAAGAGCAUAGUUUACUACAACACAGGAUUGUUACUGUGCUAAAAAUAAAUAUAAUAUUGGAAGGAAUCUACACAGACUGAACCAUUACAAUUUGUAGCUAUAGCCCUGGAAAUUCUCUCUCUGUGCUGUGUUUGUACGAGUUCCCCACUGUUGCAAUGGUGGAGAGUGAAAACUGCUAAUUGUAGACACAGCCGUAUUGUAUUCCCUCGACUCCGCUAGCAUUGACAGCCGAUGUAUCUGCUUUUCCCACAGCUCCCUCUGGCCUCCUUCCACCCUGCUCCCUAGGAAUGGAACUUUUGCCCUGAUCUGAUCUGUAAGGCCUUUGCCCUCUCCUCCUGCAGAUCCCCACAAGAAUCCACCUCAUUCUGACAAGAAAUUGCCCAAUUAAUGCUGAAUAGACUGAGGGGCAGUCAGAUAUAGUUAAUGUGCAUUUAUUUAAUAAUUAUAAUAGAUUCCCCCACACCCACAACCAAUAUAUAGAGAAUGUCUAUAAAAACGGUCCCCAUUUAGAUUGUGUCCCCCUCUCCUCCUUUAGUAUGUUGCUUGUCAGUUGUACUGUAAAUUCUUAAGGGGCAGGGACUAUUUUUCUGAGAGGUGGGGACAUAGCCUAGCAUAUAGAUUUUGAGUAAAUCAUCCUUUGGUCCCACAGUGACGCUAUCUCAAAUUGCAAUUACAAAGAUUAGUAACAUCUACAGUGGUGUGGUUUUUUUUGUUUUUUUUUUAAUCUGUGGUUUUAACAACUAUUUCAAAAAGUCCCGAGUUAAAGGCCCUGUUAAGCACAUGGUGGUACUUUAAUUUGUCUGUUUAUGCUCCCUCUAACUCUGACCUCUAUUCUUCCUGUCAGCACUUAUGGAUCUGAAGCAGGCCAUGUGGAUCUUCAAAGGACAUUGAAAUUGCAUUGUAAUAACCUGUAUCUCUGGAAUGAGCCAGGCGAGGGCUGCUGAUGGAACUGCGUUCUGGUAAAACGAUAAAAAUAGAGGCUUGGCUAUGAAUGUGAGCAGGCAAUUGGGGAACCAGUGCCAUUGGCGGCAUAUUGAAACAGCAUCAACAACUUUAACAUAGAACCUCCUGUAGAAGUGAAGUGAGAAAGGAGUUGCUGUUAUGGCUGGCCAGUAUCCUAGCAACAGCUGCAGAGAUAGUAUCAGCAACAUCAUGCCUUGGUUAAACUGACUUUGGAUGAGACCUUACCAAGUCUAUGAAAAUGGGAGCCAUAGCAGGGAUGGUCAGUGGCCAUUUAUCUUCUCUCCGGUGAUUCUGUUUUCAUUGUUCUAGUCUGGUAGCCUCUGGCCAUGGCUGAGCCGCUGAGUAGAUAAGGUUGCACAGAUCUAGCACAUGUAAAAGAGCCAACAUAUUGUAAUGACAGUUUUGUGUUUGUAGCUUGUGCUGUCAUGCAGUGAAAUUAUACCUGCCCAAACAAUAUGGAGAGAUACUCUUCUGUGAACUAAUAGACAGCUUUAUUAAGUGCUCGGGACACAGCCAGACAUACUUGGCUCCUAGGUCAAGAAAGCACAGGCAAGCUUAAUUCUGUUUCACUUUUGUGAUGAUGGUAAUAUAACCACAGUAUGAACAAUGGACUUUUUAGUGUAAUUGCAGCUUGUGAAUGAUUUGAAAUGAAAAAAAUUACUGAUGACUGUGCCCAAUGCCCAGCUGUUUUACAGUAGCCCAUAUGCUCCCCUCUUUUCCACAGAGCAGUUGGGCAUGAAUCAUGCUGCAACGGGGUUUGAGGAAAUGGUGUGCAAAGAGGGGAGAGGGUGUGUUGCCAGGGCACUAUAUAGCUGCCACCAAUCCUUCUGCAGAAGAGCUGCUAUGUGGCCAAAAUUUGUGCAGCUGAUGGAGGUGUUGGGGGGAAAGUGAUGGAGCAGUUGCAAACCUUCCAUUGACUUCAGGUGUAGUUGAGGUGGUGAUUUAAUUGUCUUGUACCCAGUCUCGUAAUGUCCAGUUUCCUCCAUCUUGAAGUAUGGAUUCCCAAGUCCGCUCCUGCAAUAGGUUGUUGUUACUCAUGAUGAAAGCACCAUGUUCUACCACUGUGCAGCCACAGUUCAGAACAAGCACUUUAAUGGCCCCAAUCCUCCACUGAUGUAAAACCGUGUAGCUGAGAAUCUGGCCCUAAUGUUUAUAAAAAUCAGCAUUUUUCAGGUAAAUGUUGUAACAGAAGGCACUUAGUACCUGAUCCAAUGCCCAUUUAAGUCAGUGGAAAGGCUCCCACUACCUUCACUGGGCUUUGGAUUGGACUCUAACACAUUGUCUCUUCUCAUAUUAAAAUACCCAGUUAAAAGUGAAAAAAUAAGGGGCAAAUGCACCCCUGUUGGUAGUGCCUGAACUUUGUUACCAUCUGGUGUCUGUUUGGUGGCCUCAGUCCAGUUCCCAGUGGGAAGAUAGCUAAAUGUCUCUCAAAAAAGAACACCACAACUGGUACUAGUUGGCAUAGCUGCUGCCAGUGUCUGGAAAGAGGUCCUGGGUUGUACUGAGAUGGAGAUGAGCUAAACUCUGAAACCUAAAGAUAGUACUGCAAUAUCAGGUUUGAACCACAUUAGUGGAGUGGAAACUUGUACUGCUACUUCUCAAGCUGUACCUGUUUAGUUAGUAAAUAAUAAUACCUUGUAUAGUUCUUUCCAUCAAUAGAUCUCAAAACACUUCAGAAAGGAGACAGGCAUCGUUACCAUUUUACAGUUGGAGAAAGUGAGGCAUAGAGAAGUGGAGCGGCUGGUCCAAUGGAUUCCCAGUCACGUGAUUUAUCCCCUAGGCAACAUUGUCUAGAGCACUUCAUUUUCCCAGGCUGUCAAGCCAACCUAUUGCACAAAUGCUAAAUUCACACUCACAAAUGAAAACCUGUUUUAAAAUGAAAAAAAAAAAAAAAAACCCCAAAAAAACCAUAGUGAAAGAUUUAAGACCAUAUGUGAGCUCUGAAACUAUUGAUUUAAAUAUGAAGCUGUCAUUCCACGCCCUAAACCGGUAUACUUUUAAAGUUUCUAUUGAGUUAAGAAAGUGUGAUUUACAUCAAGCAAACUAACUAAAAGCACAUGAUGUUCUGUUUGCUAUGUACUGUACCUUUAAAGCCGGCUGCUGUGGGGGGCAACUGUGAAGCUACCGCUAUUGUGCCUGAGGUAAAAUUUUACAGAGUGAGUCAAUGUGCGUGCUCUUUCGCUGACACUUUGCAUUUAUUCUUUCUUCAGUCAUUUUCAUAGAUUCAUAGAUAUUAAGGUCAGAAGGGACCAUUAUGAUCAUCUAGUCUGACCUCCUGCACAGUGCAGGCCACAGAAUCUCACCCACCCACUCCAUUUUCCUGCAUGUUCAGAUAAAUCACCCCAAAAUGGAAAAUUGAAAACACAGAUACAACAUAAUUUGCUAUUAAAGUUUAUAGAAAACAGUUCAUGACAGAACAUAAUUGUAAUGACUGGCAAUGGCUAUCGGUUUGGGGACAAGUUUAAAAUUAAAAUAGGAUUUCUCAUGAGAGAGGAUAUUUCCCCCCAGGUAGAAUUGGUAAGAUUUUUUCUUUCCAUGGGGCCAGAUUCUACCACCCUUCCCUGUAGUGGGUAACACCAGCAGAGACACAAAUCAGUGCAUUCCAUCUCAAAAACCAAGAGGCCAAACAUGAACUCAACCUCAGCUGGCUUGGAAUAAAAUUUACUCAUUCCGUAAAUCCUGUAUACCUUGCUGGUACUCUUGACAGCACAUUUUGCUUCAGAGCCCACAUCUAGAAGAUGAGCAUAUGAAACAACAUUCUCAGCAAGCUGGGUGCAUCCAACUAGGGUGCAGACUUGUCCCGUCUGCAGUCAACAGCACUAGCACUGUGCUACUUUUGCUGAUUAGAGGUGGUCAGUGUUUUGGUACAGGAUUUUAAAGAAGGAUUGCUUAUCAAUUCAAUAAUACUACUAACAAUGUUAAGGGGAGAUUUCAAAGGGCAGUUAUGCACCCCUCUCCCAUUGACUUUCAGUGGGAAUUGGGCACCUAAUUCUUUUUUGACUCUUAUGUAAUGAUGUUUUCUAGAGACAGUGCAAUCGACAAGAUGUCCUGUCAUCUAUUAAAGCUAAAAAAUUGUUCUUAGCGAAAUCUGGGCAAAGUAAGGAGUAACACAAAAGGGCAGGAUAUUAAAAAAACUAUUGCAGUCCAUUGUCACUGAUUGCUUACACAUUUAAAACAGGAAUGCAUGUAGAGGUUGCUUCAGUGGAAGCGUCCUGUUUAACUAAAUGGUACAGUGCUCUGGUGAGGGAGAGAA